rnacentral:tRNA from 1 species
GUCGGAGUGGCGGAAUCGGCAGACGCGCACGUUUGAGGGGCGUGUGGGGAGACCCGUGCGGGUUCAAGUCCCGCCUUCGACACCA